AGUGAACGCUGGCGGUAGGCCUAACACAUGCAAGUCGAACGGCAGCACAGGAGAGCUUGCUCUCUGGGUGGCGAGUGGCGGACGGGUGAGGAAUACAUCGGAAUCUACUUUUUCGUGGGGGAUAACGUAGGGAAACUUACGCUAAUACCGCAUACGACCUACGGGUGAAAGCAGGGGACCUUCGGGCCUUGCGCGAUUGAAUGAGCCGAUGUCGGAUUAGCUAGUUGGCGGGGGAAAGGCCCACCAAGGCGACGAUCCGUAGCUGGUCUGAGAGGAUGAUCAGCCACACUUGAAGUGAGACACGGGCCAGACUCCUACGGGAGGCAGCAGUGGGGAAUAUUGGACAAUGGGCGCAAGCCUGAUCCAGCCAUACCGCGUGGGUGAAGAAGGCCUUCGGGUUGUAAAGCCCUUUUGUUGGGAAAGAAAUCCAGCUGGCUAAUACCCGGUUGGGAUGACGGUACCCAAAGAAUAAGCACCGGCUAACUUCGUGCCAGCAGCCGCGGUAA
rnacentral:rRNA from 1 species